rnacentral:rRNA from 1 species
AUUGAACGCUGGCGGCAGGCCUAACACAUGCAAGUCGAGCGGAUGAGAGGGGCUUGCUCCUCGAUUCAGCGGCGGACGGGUGAGUAAUGCCUAGGAAUCUGCCUAGUAGUGGGGGACAACGCUUCGAAAGGAACGCUAAUACCGCAUACGUCCUACGGGAGAAAGUGGGGGAUCUUCGGACCUCACGCUAUUAGAUGAGCCUAGGUCGGAUUAGCUAGUUGGUAGGGUAAAGGCCUACCAAGGCGACGAUCCGUAACUGGGCUGAGAGGAUGAUCAGUCACACUGGAACUGAGACACGGUCCAGACUCCUACGGGAGGCAGCAGUGGGGAAUAUUGGACAAUGGGCGAAAGCCUGAUUCAGCCAUGCCGCGUGUGUGAAGAAGGCCUUCGGGUCGUAAAGCACUUUAAGUUGGGAGGAAGGGCUCAUAGCGAAUACCUGUGAGUUUUGACGUUACCAACAGAAUAAGCACCGGCUAACUUCGUGCCAGCCGCCGCCGUAA